rnacentral:rRNA from 1 species
UACGUAGGGGGCAAGCGUUUGUCCGGAAUCAUUGGGCGUAAAGCGCGCGUAGGCGGCCCGGUAAGUCCGUUGUGAAAGUCAAAGGCUCAACCUUUGAACGCCGAUGGAUACUGCCGGGCUAGAGUCCGGAAGAGGCGAGUGGAAUUCCUGGUGUAGCGGUGGAAUGCGCAGAUAUCAGGAGGAACACCAAUAGCGAAGGCAGCUCGCUGGGACGGUACUGACGCUGAGACGCGAAAGCGUGGGGAGCGAACAGG